GGGGGUGCAAUGGUUUCGACGGGGAUUCUGAGGUAUGAUAAGCGUGGCGAGCCGGGUAAUCUCGUAAACUGCCUAACUUAAAAAAUAAACGACAACAACACUGUUGCAAUGGCUGCCUAAUCUUUGCGCCCUCAGGGCGUGAAGAUUGGCAGUGCCGCGACCUGCGGGUCGCCCGUUCCUCCGGGGAGUACCACGGCCUCGGACUGAAUGUCAUCGAAGUGGUGAACAUGCAUCGGUGGUUCGCUCUUGAACCGAUCAUGCAAAAAAGGGCUACCCGAGGAAAUAGCGUGUCUGUUCGCGCUUUUCAAGGGGAAUUCUAAAUAACAGACUACCCACGAAGAAGGUUAUAUCAAGGGAUUUUCGGACAGGAGUUCGAUUCUCCUCAUCUC
rnacentral:tmRNA from 1 species